GAGGGAGUUGGAAAGAGAUAAGAGAGAGACCUUGGGGAACAAUUUUAAAGUGGCUCAAUAGCGAUCGCAGAGCCAAACUCAUACCUACAUCAAUGUGGUGCAGAGAAUCUCUAAGAAUUUUUAAUGCUGAAUUGGAGCAAAGAAACUUCAAGGAGGAAGCAAAGUGAAGAACACAGAUUUCACAGAUGGGAUGCCUGGCUCAAAUUCCAGCUUGACCGCUGGUAGCUGUGUGACCCUCGGCAAGUUACUUGACCUCUCUCUACUCAGUGUCCUCAUCUGUCAGGAAUUCAAGUGGAGAGACUUUCCCAGGUUUCUGUGCUGUAGCCAAGUCAAAUGAGCCAUGUCUUCCUAAUAAAGUAAAGAAAAGUGUAAUAUGAAUCAGAAAACAUGAACUCAGACUGAUGCUGGAAGCCACCUUAUGACUAUAAGCAGAAUCAGCCUCGUUAUGACGUUGAUGCUAUAAGCAACGGACUGAAAGAUACAAAGAGCAAGCAGACAGGAUGGAAGCUAGACCAAGAAUGAAGUUAAUGCAUGGAUUAGGGAGAAACAAAGUGAAACUUAGCAAAACUGAUCCAGGACCCUGAUGACACGUGAAUGGAUCUGAUUCACGAUUUUGGUAUCUGACUGAUGCUGUCUUCGUGGAAUGAGUUAGGAAAGAGUCCCUCCUCGUCAACUGUUGGGAAUACAUUCAGCAGGGUUGGUAUCAUUGCAUGUCUGGCAGAAUUUGACUAGGAAUCCAUCUGGUCCAGGAUUUUUUUUGUUGAAAUGCGUAAAUGGCGACAGUAGAGCCAGCCUUCAUGAAUCCAGAAAUGUGAGCCACAUUUUGAGGAUAGCAGAGUCACUGCAGAAGCCUGGAUCCUUGCAUAACCUUGUCGAGUGGGAAAAUCUACCCAUACUUGACCAACCACCUAACUGGGGGCUCUACAUCUGAGAGAAAUGAUUUUUUAUCUUAUUUAAGCCACUGUAGUUAGGAGUCAGUUUAUUACAGGACAUUGCCUGGUGUUCCAACAAAUAAACUACCUUAUUUGUUUCAAUAAAUAAAGUGGCUUUUAUUUACUAUUUUGGGGAUGGCUAAAAAAUUAUCAAACUAGGUAGAACUAAACUAAAGUUUCAGAUGAAAGAAGAUCUUCAUAAGCAACAUCACCAUCUUGUCACAGCAGCCAAAUGGUGGCAUGUCAUUUCUUCCAGGAAAGUAUAUAUACUCUGAAUGUAUCAUGUUUCAGCAUUGCUCUGUUAUAGGCUUGUAUAUCUAAUUUUGUCAUCACACAAGAUCUAUUGGGCUGGAUUAAAAUUAACCAAGAUCAUAAGACAAAUGUGUAAAAACAUUAAAUUUUUCAUUUACAAUGAGAAA
ensembl:lncRNA HAS2-AS1 HAS2 antisense RNA 1